ACUUUACAAUGCUGGCAACAGCGAUAAGGGAACCUCGAGUGCCAGGUUACAAAUCUGGCUGUCGAGAUGCCUAAAAAGCAUUUCAUAGCAAGGGCCGGGCAAGACCGGUGCCAGCCGCCGCGGUAACACCGGCGGCUCGAGUGGUAACCGUUAUUAUUGGGUCUAAAGGGUCUGUAGCCGGCCGGAUAAGUCUCUUGAGAAAUCUGGCAGCUUAACUGUCAGGCUUUCAGGAGAUACUGUCUGGCUCGAGGCCGGGAGAGGUGAGAGGUACUUCAGGGGUAGGGGUGAAAUCUUGUAAUCCUUGAAGGACCACCAGUGGCGAAGGCGUCUCACCAGAACGGACCUGACGGCAAGGGACGAAAGCUAGGGGCACGAACCGGAUUAGAUACCCGUGUAGUCCC
rnacentral:rRNA from 1 species